rnacentral:rRNA from 1 species
GACGAACGCUGGCGGCGUGCCUAAUACAUGCAAGUAGGACGCAGUUGCGAACGGGUGAGUAACGCGUAGGUAACUACCUAUUAGAGGGGGAUAACUAUUGGAAACGAUAGCUAAUUCCGCAUACUCGUAGAUGGACCUGCGUUGUAUUAGGUAGUAGGUAGGGUAAUGGCCUAACUAGGCAACGAUACAUAGCCGACCUGAGCGGGGGAUAGGGCACAAGUGGACGGGGACACGGCCCAGACGCCUACGGGAGGCAGCAGUAGGGAAACUGCGGCAAGGGGGGGAAACCGGACAGAGCAACGCCGCGUGAGGGAAGAAGGGGUUCGGAUAGGAAAGCUCGGUUGUGAAGGAAGCGGUACUUAACCAGAAAGGGACGGCUAACUACGUGCCAGCAGCCGCGGUAAGAC